GAUGAAGAACGCAGCGAAAUGCGAUAAGUAGUGUGAAUUGCAGAAUUCAGUGAAUCAUCGAAUCUUUGAACGCACAUUGCGCCCCUUGGUAUUCCAUGGGGCAUGCCUGUUCGAGCGUCAUUUGUACCCUUAAGCUUUGCUUGGUGUUGGGCGUCUUGUCGUAUUACGACUCGCCUUAAAUACAUUGGCAGCCGGCACUUUGGCCUAGGAGCGCAGCACAUUUUGCGAUCGUAGCCCGUUGUACUGGCGUCCAUCAAGAACAUUUACCACGUUUGACCUCGGAUCAGGUAGGGAUACCCGCUGAACUUAAGCAUAUCAAUAAGCGGAGGA
rnacentral:misc_RNA from 1 species